UACGAACCGAGCGAACGUUGUUCGGAAUCACUGGGCUUAAAGGGUGCGUAGGCGGGUUGCCAAGUUUGAGGUGAAAUCCUCCGGCUCAACCGGGGAAGUGCCUUGAAUACUGGCGGUCUGGAGGGAGGUAGGGGCGUGCGGAACUAACGGUGGAGCGGUGAAAUGCGUUGAUAUCGUUAGGAACUCCGGUGGCGAAGGCGGCACGCUAGACCUCUUCUGACGCUGAGGCACGAAAGCCAGGGGAGCGAACGGG
rnacentral:rRNA from 1 species